rnacentral:rRNA from 2 species
CUGGUGUUGAAGGCCCUGCAAAGCAGCAUCGCGGUGGCGGAGCGUCGUUUGCGACGCCCAACACACAAAACAAGCGGUGAAUGCUUUGGGGUGGGGUGACUGCGUACCUUUUGUAUAAUGGGUCAGCGACUUAUAUUCUGUAGCAAGGUUAACCGAAUAGGGGAGCCGGAGGGAAACCGAGUCUUAAUUGGGCGUUAAGUUGCAGGGUAUAGACCCGAAACCCGGUGAUCUAGCCAUGGGCAGGUUGAAGGUUGGGUAACACUAACUGGAGGACCGAACCGACUAAUGUUGAAAAAUUAGCGGAUGACCUGUGGCUGGGGGUGAAAGGCCAAUCAAACCGGGAGAUAGCUGGUUCUCCCCGAAAGCUAUUUAGGUAGCGCCUCGUGAAUUCAUCUCCGGGGGUAGAGCACUGUUUCGGCUAGGGGGCCAUCCCGGCUUACCAACCCGAUGCAAACUGCGAAUACCGGAGAAUGUUAUCACGGGAGACACACGGCGGGUGCUAACGUCCGUCGUGAAGAGGGAAACAACCCAGACCGCCAGCUAAGGUCCCAAAGUCAUGGUUAAGUGGGAAACGAUGUGGGAAGGCCCAGACAGCCAGGAUGUUGGCUUAGAAGCAGCCAUCAUUUAAAGAAAGCGUAAUAGCUCACUGGUCGAGUCGGCCUGCGCGGAAGAUGUAACGGGGCUAAACCAUGCACCGAAGCUGCGGCAGCGAACGUAUCACCCAAGACAACUUUACGGAGUUGACGAUUGACGGAGCGAAGCGACGUCAAAGCGUUCAUUAAAGUCGAGUUGGCUUAGGGAUACGUUCGUUGGGUAGGGGAGCGUUCUGUAAGCCUGUGAAGGUGUGUCGUGAGGCAUGCUGGAGGUAUCAGAAGUGCGAAUGCUGACAUAAGUAACGAUAAAGCGGGUGAAAAGCCCGCUCGCCGGAAGACCAAGGGUUCCUGUCCAACGUUAAUCGGGGCAGGGUGAGUCGACCCCUAAGGCGAGGCCGAAAGGCGUAGUCGAUGGGAAACGGGUUAAUAUUCCCGUACUUGGUGUUACUGCGAAGGGGGGACGGAGAAGGCUAUGUUGGCCGGGCGACGGUUGUCCCGGUUUAAGCGUGUAGGUGUGUGUUCCAGGUAAAUCCGGUU